AAGACCUUGCGCUUUUGGAGCGGCCGAUGUCUGAUUAGCUAGUUGGUAGGGUAAUGGCCUACCAAAGCUUCGAUCAGUAGCUGGUCUGAGAGGACGACCAGCCACACUGGGACUGAGACACGGCCCAGACUCCUACGGGAGGCAGCAGUGGGGAAUUUUGGACAAUGGGUGCAAGCCUGAUCCAGCCAUGCCGCGUGAGUGAAGAAGGCCUUCGGGUUGUAAAGCUCUUUCAGCCGGGAAGAAAAGGCUACGACGAAUAAUCGUAGCUCAUGACGGUACCGGAAGAAGAAGCACCGGCUAACUACGUGCCAGCAGCCGCGGUAAUACGUAGGGUGCGAGCGUUAAUCGGAAUUACUGGGCGUAAAGGGUGCGCAGGCGGUUUUGUAAGUCAGAUGUGAAAUCCCCGGGCUUAACCUGGGAACU
rnacentral:rRNA from 1 species